UACGUAGGGGGCUAGCGUUGUCCGGAUUUAUUGGGCGUAAAGAGCGUGUAGGCGGCCCGGUAAGUCCGCUGUGAAAGUCCAGGGCUCAACCCUGGGAUGCCGGUGGAUACUGUCGGGCUCGAGUCCGGAAGAGGAGACUGGAAUUCCCGGUGUAGCGGUGAAAUGUGUGGAGAUCGGGAGGAACACCGGUGGCGAAGGCGGGUCUCUGGGCAUUUCCUGACGCUGAGGCGCGAAAGCGUGGGGAGCAAACGGG
rnacentral:rRNA from 1 species